GACAGUUUUUUUUUUUUAAUUUAAAUAAUUCUCUGUGGCUCUGUCUCUGUCUCUGUCUGUCUGUUACUCUCUCCUCUUUCCAUUCUCAGAACAUUAAAAGUCCCGCCGGUUGUAGAAAGGACUAUAUUUGAGAUCUGCGUUUUGUUUUUUUUUUGUUUGUUUGUUUGUUUUUUUGUCGAAAGGGAGGGGGAGAUCCAUGGUUUUGCUAAUAACUGACCCGGGAAAGGGUCGGAGGAAGGAGAAACUACUUCAUUUCGUAAUUGUGACUUUCUUUUGAUAAAGUUAAAGGGAGAAGAAAAUCAACUGUAUUCAUCCCCAUUCUGGUUUGACUGCUUCCUGGAAUUCCUCACAACUGUCAUACUUUCGUGCCAGGGUCUGGAAAGCCACCCCACUUUGUGACAACAAGGCAUGUGUCAAACAAUUACAGGAGGAGGGGCAAGGUAGCUCUACUCAAUGGCAAAGUAUCCCCUCCCUUCUCCGUUCAUUCCAGGGCUAUCGGGACUUUGUGUGUGAGUACGGGUGUCUGUUCUCGUGUGUUUACGUGUAUGAUGUGUGUGUGUGUGCCUUUCCUUUGGGGCCAACUUCCAGUCUCCUUUAUGUGUUGAAGGCAGCUACCACCCUCCCUGAAAACUACCCAUCUGCUCUUCAUGGCUUCUUCACAAAUGUUCACUUAAACGGAGAUGAGAAGACGUCCCAAGAAAACCUUCGAGAUCUUCUAAGACUAAGUCAAUUACUACAUUUGCGUAGCUAUAGAGAACUGCAAGUACCUGUGCCUGCAAUACAUGUAUGCACAAUGUAUGCACUCCCUAGCCCGUGGAGGAAAUAAUCUUCGAAAAGGAAAACAAACAAACGAAAUCGUAGCUAAACUUCACCAGCUGACGCAGAGUUUUAUCAGAAAAGAGCAAUCACACCUCAAGGCUCAAUUGAAAAAUAAAAUAAAACCAUCAGCAUACA
rnacentral:lncRNA from 1 species